GACGAACCGUGCGAACGUUGUUCGGAAUCACUGGGCUUAAAGGGCGCGUAGGCGGCCCGUCAAGUCUGGGGUGAAAUCCCACGGCUCAACCGUGGAACUGCCUUAGAUACUGUCGGCCUCGAGGAAGGUAGGGGCAUGCGGAACUGUAGGUGGAGCGGUGAAAUGCGUUGAUAUCUACAGGAACUCCGGUGGCGAAAGCGGCGUGCUGGACCUUUUCUGACGCUGAGGCGCGAAAGCUAGGGGAGCAAACGGG
rnacentral:rRNA from 1 species